AGAGUUUGAUCAUGGCUCAGGAUGAACGCUGGCGGCGUGCUUAACACAUGCAAGUCGAACGAUGAUCUCCAGCUUGCUGGGGGGAUUAGUGGCGAACGGGUGAGUAACACGUGAGUAACCUGCCCUUGACUCUGGGAUAAGCCUGGGAAACUGGGUCUAAUACCGGAUAUGACCAUUCCACGCAUGUGGUGGUGGUGGAAAGCUUUUGCGGUUUUGGAUGGACUCGCGGCCUAUCAGCUUGUUGGUGGGGUAAUGGCCUACCAAGGCGACGACGGGUAGCCGGCCUGAGAGGGUGACCGGCCACACUGGGACUGAGACACGGCCCAGACUCCUACGGGAGGCAGCAGUGGGGAAUAUUGCACAAUGGGCGGAAGCCUGAUGCAGCGACGCCGCGUGAGGGAUGACGGCCUUCGGGUUGUAAACCUCUUUCAGUAGGGAAGAAGCGUAAGUGACGGUACCUGCAGAAGAAGCGCCGGCUAACUACGUGCCAGCAGCCGCGGUAAUACGUAGGGCGCAAGCGUUAUCCGGAAUUAUUGGGCGUAAAGAGCUCGUAGGCGGUUUGUCGCGUCUGCUGUGAAAGACCGGGGCUCAACUCCGGUUCUGCAGUGGGUACGGGCAGACUAGAGUGCAGUAGGGGAGACUGGAAUUCCUGGUGUAGCGGUGAAAUGCGCAGAUAUCAGGAGGAACACCGAUGGCGAAGGCAGGUCUCUGGGCUGUAACUGACGCUGAGGAGCGAAAGCAUGGGGAGCGAACAGGAUUAGAUACCCUGGUAGUCCAUGCCGUAAACGUUGGGCACUAGGUGUGGGGGACAUUCCACGUUUUCCGCGCCGUAGCUAACGCAUUAAGUGCCCCGCCUGGGGAGUACGGCCGCAAGGCUAAAACUCAAAGGAAUUGACGGGGGCCCGCACAAGCGGCGGAGCAUGCGGAUUAAUUCGAUGCAACGCGAAGAACCUUACCAAGGCUUGACAUGGACUGGAAAGAUCUGGAGACAGGUCCCCCGCUUGCGGUCGGUUCACAGGUGGUGCAUGGUUGUCGUCAGCUCGUGUCGUGAGAUGUUGGGUUAAGUCCCGCAACGAGCGCAACCCUCGUUCUAUGUUGCCAGCGCGUUAUGGCGGGGACUCAUAGGAGACUGCCGGGGUCAACUCGGAGGAAGGUGGGGACGACGUCAAAUCAUCAUGCCCCUUAUGUCUUGGGCUUCACGCAUGCUACAAUGGCCGGUACAAAGGGUUGCGAUACUGUGAGGUGGAGCUAAU
rnacentral:rRNA from 2 species